rnacentral:rRNA from 1 species
AUUGAACGCUGGCGGAAUGCUUUACACAUGCAAGUCGAACGGUAGAGGGGGCAACCCCUCGAGAGUGGCGAACGGGCGAGUAAUAUAUCGGAACGUGCCCAGGCGUGGGGGAUAACGUAGCGAAAGUUACGACAAUACCGCAAACGUUCUCAGGAUGAAAGCGGGGGAUCGCAAGACCUCGCGUGCUUGGAGCGGCAGAAAUCAGGGUAGGUAGUUGGGUGGGUAAAGGACCACCAAGCCAACGAUCUGGAGCUGGUCUGAGAGGACGAACAGCAACACUGGAACUGAGACACGGUCCAGACUCCUACGGGAGGCAGCAGUGGGGAAUAUUGGACAAUGGGGGCAACCCUGAUCCAGCGAUGCCGCGUGGGGUGAAGAAGGCCUUCGGGUUGUAAAGCCCUUUAAGAUGGGAAGAAGAGUGUGAGAGUAAUCUGCUCAUGCUUUGACGGUACCGUCAGAAUAAGCACCGGCAAACUCUGUGCCAGCAGCCGCAGUAA